rnacentral:rRNA from 1 species
UGGGGGAAACCCUGAUCCAGCAAUGCCGCGUGUGUGAAGAAGGCCUUCGGGUUGUAAAGCUCUUUCGGCAGGAACGAAAAGGUCUGCCCGAAUACGGCGGGCCCAUGACGGUACCGUAAGAAUAAGCACCGGCUAACUACGUG